CAACGGCUGGCAGGAGUCUGCAAUGGCUGGGGCCGGGCCACACCUAGGCGCUGAGCUCCUGAAAUAAGAUCUUGGAACUCGUCUUCAUGUGAAAGCAUCCUCUAACCUUCUUAAGGCUAAAAGACCACCUGGAAAGAGAUGCCCACUGUGCCUGCUGAGCACAUUCCCAGCCUACCUCACCUGAAUGCAGCCCGCGAGUGAACCCAGCAAGACCAGCGCAAGAGCCGAGGACAGCUCCAGAGUCGUGAGAAUCCAUACAUUACGUGACUUUCAGCUAGGAAAAUUCAGGGUGGCUGCUGAUGCAGCAGCAGAGCACCCAGCUGACCCAUCUCCUCAUCUGGGGAGAAGGAGAACUCACAAUCCUGGCAAUGAAGCAACUCAGGGCUCGCUGGAAAGCCACGCUGAGCAAAGGACAAAGACACACAUG
rnacentral:lncRNA from 1 species